rnacentral:rRNA from 1 species
AGAGUUUGAUCCUGGCUCAGGAUGAACGCUGGCGGCGUGCCUAAUACAUGCAAGUCGAGCGAUUUACUUCGGUAAAGAGCGGCGGACGGGUGAGUAACGCGUGGGUAACCUGCCCUGUACACACGGAUAACAUACCGAAAGGUAUGCUAAUACGAGAUAAUAUGCUUUUAUCGCAUGGUAGAAGUAUCAAAGCUUUUGCGGUACAGGAUGGACCCGCGUCUGAUUAGCUAGUUGGUAAGGUAAAGGCUUACCAAGGCGACGAUCAGUAGCCGACCUGAGAGGGUGAUCGGCCACAUUGGAACUGAGACACGGUCCAAACUCCUACGGGAGGCAGCAGUGGGGAAUAUUGCACAAUGGGCGAAAGCCUGAUGCAGCAACGCCGCGUGAGCGAAGAAGGCCUUCGGGUCGUAAAGCUCUGUCCUCAAGGAAGAUAAUGACGGUACUUGAGGAGGAAGCCCCGG